AGAGUUUGAUCCUGGCUCAGAUUGAACGCUGGCGGCAUGCCUUACACAUGCAAGUCGAGCGGCAGCGCGGGGCAACCUGGCGGCGAGCGGCGAACGGGUGAGUAAUGCAUCGGAACGUGACCUGAGGUGUGGGAUAACCUAUCGAAAGGUAGGCUAAUACCGCAUGAGCUCGGAAGAGGAAAGGGGGGGAUCGCAAGACCUCUCGCCUUAGGGGCGGCCGAUGUCCGAUUAGGUAGUUGGUGGGGUAAAGGCCUACCAAGCCUGCGAUCGGUAGCUGGUCUGAGAGGAUGAUCAGCCACACUGGGACUGAGACACGGCCCAGACUCCUACGGGAGGCAGCAGUGGGGAAUUUUGGACAAUGGGGGCAACCCUGAUCCAGCCAUGCCGCGUGAGUGAAGAAGGCCUUCGGGUUGUAAAGCUCUUUCGGCGGGAACGAAAGCGCCACCUCUAAUACGGGUGGUGUAUGACGGUACUCGCAGAAGAAGCACCGGCUAACUACGUGCCAGCAGCCGCGGUAAU
rnacentral:rRNA from 1 species